AACGUUAGCCACAUCGUUCUUUUUUUGUAACGGAGAAUUGAGUUAGGGACUAAAACCAAACGAAAUUCAACAUAUAGGGACUCACAAAAAAAAAUACAAGGACCAAAAUCAAAAUACUAUUAAAGUAAAAUGUUCAUAGUCAAACACAAACAAUUUGAAUUAUGCAUACUAAAACUCGAUCCUUUAAGAUGCGCAAAGAAAAAGUAAACUCAAAUAUAAAACUCAAUUCAAAGUAAAGCUUAAGGGACAAGCAACGAAAC
rnacentral:lncRNA from 1 species